CCCCUCUCAGGGUCGCGCCUGGAGAGUUUCCAGUCCUCUAACGGUCUCGGCUAUGGGAGGGAGAGUCAAGCAAAGGCUUAUCCAUUCCAUUCCUAGCUUGGCCAGUGGUUAGUGAGUGGAAGGUCAUAUGCUACAACU